rnacentral:misc_RNA from 1 species
AAGUCGUAACAAGGUUUCCGUAGGUGAACCUGCGGAAGGAUCAUUAAAAAAAUUGAGGUAUUAGUACCUCUUUUGUAUUUAAAACCUUACUCUUAUAAAACCUAAAAAAUUUUAUGUAUGAAAAUGAAAAACUUUCAACAAUGGAUCUCUUGGUUCUC